rnacentral:rRNA from 1 species
AGUGAACGCUGGCGGUAGGCCUAACACAUGCAAGUCGAACGGCAGCACAGUAAGAGCUUGCUCUUACGGGUGGCGAGUGGCGGACGGGUGAGGAAUACAUCGGAAUCUACUUUUUCGUGGGGGAUAACGUAGGGAAACUUACGCUAAUACCGCAUACGACCUACGUGUGAAAGCAGGGGAUCUUCAGACCUUGCGCGAUUGAAUGAGCCGAUGUCGGAUUAGCUAGUUGGCGGGGUAAAGGCCCACCAAGGCGACGAUCCGUAGCUGGUCUGAGAGGAUGAUCAGCCACACUGGAACUGAGACACGGUCCAGACUCCUACGGGAGGCAGCAGUGGGGAAUAUUGGACAAUGGGCGCAAGCCUGAUCCAGCCAUACCGCGUGGGUGAAGAAGGCCUUCGGGUUGUAAAGCCCUUUUGUUGGGAAAGAAAAGCAGCAGGUUAAUACCCCGCUGCUCUGACGGUACCCAAAGAAUAAGCACCGGCUAACUUCGUG